AAUUAACUGUUGCCUUUGAUGAGGUUGGCUGCUAUAGUUUGAUACCUCAUUUUGAGGUUGAAUCAUUGUUGCAUUUUAAUCUUUUUGUGCUCCAUUUUUUUGAUGUAUUUUACACCAUGGGUUGCUGAUAUUUUAUCAUAUUGCUGCUGAAUUUUAGACUAAACUAUUUGUUGCACUUCUCAUCAAAUUUCGGUCUAUUGUUGCUAUGUGUCAAGCUACAUUUUGCUACACUUUUGGCUAUAUUUAAGCCAAUGGUUUGGCUAUGUAUUUGGAAACUUUGCUGCACUUUUAAGUUAGACAACUGCUUACAUUAUUACUUACAUGAGCAUCUUGGUAUAGUUUCACUGAACUCCCUUACCUCACUGGAAAAUAUGAAUUUCUGACCCCUAAAUACUGAGGAUCUGAAGCAAUCCUGUGUUUACACUGAGUCUUUCUCAACUUCUGCCAAUUAUCUCAUGAGUUAUUGCCUAUUUACAUACAGGAAAUGACACAUCCAACUUAUAUGAAUUUGAAUAUUGUAUUUUCACUUUUUAACAUACCUUAAUUUGUCUAAUUACAGGAACUUCCUCACUUGAUUUUGUGACUUUUGCUUAACGAAGUUUUUGGAUUCCCAGUCGAUUCAAGUUUCCUCAAUAGGGAGAAUGAAAUGAAUCAGUUAACUUUUUGUCCACGAAAUGAAUCAGUUAACUUUUUGUGCAGCCUUCGUUAUUUAGCUUUGCUGGAACCCCUAACAACUCCCUAUGCUAUGGUUUUGGGAAUGAUGAAGAAGAUCAGCAACUGAAAGUGAACAGCAGCAUCCUCUACAUAUAUAAUAUGAUAAACAAUUACAUGUUGAUCUCAUAUGUCAAAAAAAUAUUUUGAUUUUAUUACCUUAGUUAAUAUGGUAUCAGUUGUACAUAUAUUUUGAAUAUCUCUAAUACUAUAUAACAUUAUUACAUUAUCUUAUCUUCUACAACAAUUAUCAUCAAUGAUUCAUUAAUACUGAUAUUUUCACUAUUGGGCCCGUGCUUGCCACGGGCGUUCCCCAUCUAGUAUACUUAGACAACGCAGCCUAUAGAAGUUUUAUGUACAACAAGUUUGGUGUUAGUCCUGUUGAAAUGGAAAGUGCUGCUGUGGCUCUCAUUUGUUACCAACAGAAGGUACCUUACAUCGUUAUCCGUGCCCUCUCCGACAUGGCCGGAGGUGGCACUUCCGAGUCCAACGAGGCAUCUACCUUCAUCACCCUUGCUGCGACCAACUCCGUUGAAGUCACCGUACAAUUCAUCAACCAAUUGGCUACCAAAAAAUUACAUCAAGAUGCUUCAUGUCUAUUAUUAGUACCUUCAGUUUUUCGAAUUUGUAUCAAAAUAAGCAAAAAUCGACAAGAGAUUUCUUCCGAUCAAGUAUAAUUUAUUUGUUAUUUUUCAUAUUUCA